rnacentral:tRNA from 1 species
AACAAAGAAGUAAAAUUUACAUUUAGUUUCGACCUAAAUUUAGGAAAGUAAUAACCCAUGUUU